rnacentral:rRNA from 1 species
CCUACGGGCGGCUGCAGUGGGGAAUAUUGCACAAUGGGGGAAACCCUGAUGCAGCAACGCCGCGUGAGUGAAGAAGUAUUUCGGUAUGUAAAGCUCUAUCAGCAGGGAAGAAGAAAGACGGUACCCGACUAAGAAGCGCCGGCUAACUACGUGCCAGCAGCCGCGGUAAUACGUAGGGGGCAAGCGUUAUCCGGAUUUACUGGGUGUAAAGGGAGCGUAGACGGCUGUGCAAGUCUGAAGUGAAAGCCCGUGGCUCAACCGCGGAACUGCUUUGGAAACUGUAUGGCUUGAGUGCUGGAGAGGCAAGCGGAAUUCCUAGUGUAGCGGUGAAAUGCGUAGAUAUUAGGAGGAACACCAGUGGCGAAGGCGGCUUGCUGGACAGUAACUGACGUUGAGGCUCGAAAGCGUGGGGAGCAAACAGGAUUAGAUACCCGAGUAGUC